GUGGAGAGAAAGUGGACAGCUUGGAGCCCAAAGAUGGGAGUGUAUGUGUAUGUGUGUGUAUGUGUAUGUGUGUGAUGGACGGGUGGGACGGUGACUCCGCAGACGCGCCACUGCCAUUAACCGGGAUGUUCCCUAUGGAACAGCACCCUCCGCCCUGCGCCACGCGCUGCCAGGGGGCACUGGGGCGAGCAGGAUGGGCAUAGGGCCACGCACGCACUGCCACAGAUGCUGCACUGCUCAGGCCAUCGCCUGCUCUGGCACAGGAGCGGACGGAGCAUCCCGGUGCGCCCCGGCUGGCCACGCUCAGAGCACACUCGGUGCGCGCGACGGCUGCCGCCGGCGGGAGCGCCGAACCCGGUGCGGUGCCAGUCCCGGUCCGUGCGUGGAGCGCGGUGCCGGUAUGGUCUCAGUAGUGGUGCCAUUGCCGGUGAAGUCCCAGUCCCGUGCCGGUCCCAUUCCCCGUCGCAUUCUCGGUGCGGGUGCCGGAGUGGCCUCGCGGGUUCUCCCGCGGCGGCGCCGGGAGGGGGCGCGGCCGCGGUGGGGCAGGCGGAGGCGCGCGGCGGGGCCGGGCACGGGGGCUGCUGGGAAGGGCCGUAGGCAGCGGUGGGCGAUGGCGGCGGUGCGGCUUCCCCCGCGGCGGCGGCGGUGGCGGCGGCGGCUCCGGCUCUGGCUCUGAGCAGGGCGGCGAUGCGCGGCGCUCCCGGCGACGAUGGAGGACCGGUCCCACAAGGUGCUGCUGGCGCUGGUGAUGCUCUUCCUCUUCGCCGUGAUCAUGCUGCAGUACGUCUGCCCGGGCACCGAGUGCCAGCUCCUGCGGCUCCGCACCCUCAGCCCCGCCGCCGCCGACCAGUGCUGGGCGGAGGAUGAGACGCCGGCGCGUUUCGUUCCCCGUUUCAAUUUCUCCGCCGACGACUUGCUGCGGCGGGUGGACUUCAACAUCAAGGGUGACGACCUGAUCGUGUUCCUGCACAUCCAGAAGACGGGCGGCACCACCUUCGGGCGGCACCUGGUCCGCAACAUCCAGCUGGAGCAGCCCUGCGAGUGCCGCACCGGGCAGAAGUGCACCUGCCACCGUCCCGGCAAGCGGGAGACCUGGGUCUUCUCCCGUUUCUCCAUCGGCUGGAGCUGCGGGCUGCACGCCGACUGGACCGAGCUCACCAACUGCGUGCCCUCCGUGGUGGACAGCAAAAAGAAGGUGCGGCUCCGGCCCUCCAGAUGUCUGCCAGCACCUGUCGUGGCAAGUCCCUGGCUUGAAUUUUGGGUCUGUCAUGUGGCAUGUCCCCUGCCACCUGCAACAUGGGAAAAGUCAUUGGAGAUGCAAAACUGCUUAUGAGUUGUGGUUGCAGAAAAGAGAAAAAUGCUCAAAUGAAAGACUCAGAUCAGGAAAAUCCCUCAAGCAAGAUCAGAGAUUAUUUGCAUUAGGAGCUGUUAAUGCCACAGGCUGACUUAUUUCCACCGGCUUUAUUUAUUCAUUGUAGGAAUACACAAGACAGAGAGUCAAACAGACUUGAUUAGCAUAGUUGGUUUGAUAACCAAGAUGCCAUGGCAGGAACAAACAGAACUGUGAAGAUUACAGAAGAUGGGAUUAAACCUGCUUACGAGAAGAGAGAAGAUUCAAUCAACUUCUGCAAGCAAAGAAUUGUUGUAAAAUGCAUGAGUUGUCUGUGUGGUUUUUAACCUGAUUAUUGUAGUAGAAAUUAUUAACCUGUCUGAAAUAGUAUGUAAGCAUUUGGGAAACCUGAGUAAAAUCGAAUUCUGAUCACCGAAUCAGUCUUCCCGUCUCUCAACCAAUCGUCAAUAAUUCAUGAAUUCUGUUUUGUUAUAAAAACAAAAUCUAGGCAAUGCCUCUCAAACAAUAUUGCAUUUCCUUGUUGGCUAAAUGCAUAGAGUGUUUUGACUCAUACUGUAGCUGUCUGGAUGGUUGGUACUUACAGAGAACACGUAAUUCAUUGCAUACUUUUGUUCUGAAGUAACACCAUCACAAGGACAUUCUUUAUUGAGGUUCCUCAGGAAAGGCAUUUCAAAACUUUUUGACAAACUGAUGGCCAGGUUUCAAUAUUCAUUACUUGGAAUGAAUGGCCCCUUGUUCUAAAAUUCACAGAAUCACAGACUCACAGAAGAUGCUGAGUUGGAAAUGACCCACAAGGAUCAUCGAGUCCAACUCCUGGCCCUUCACAGUGAUAGUGGAGGGUUAAAAAAUUGUAUAAGUUAACCGCGGGUAGUUGAGGGGGGGAAGGUAGAAGAUGCACAAUCUGAACUUGACUUUGGAACAAACGUCAGCUUCUGCAACUAGCUUCAUACUAUUGUUUUAAUUGAGUCGAGUGUGACUCCAGCCCAGGAGAUAAUUGAGAAGCAUUGUUUUAACCAAAUCAAGUAGAACCCAGGGUAAAGCGCAGGUAUGAUUUAAGAUAGUAACUAAGAAAUAGAAUAACCAGUAUCUAGGGGUGGAGGUUAGUGAACAUAUGUAUAAUUUGAAACUAUAAAAAUCACAAAUUGACUCUGUAUUCUUGGGCACAAGAUUUGGGCACUGUAUGUCCCUGUGCCCCGCGCGCUCAAAUAAAGAACCCCAUAUGAUCGCCUUGGUGUGGUUAUAUGUUUUCCUACGCUAACAUUUUUGGCGACCCAGGUGGGACCUUGUGGGUGCAGCCAGGACCCCGCAACCCGAUCACACUCCAGCUGGCACCGGGUGAUUUCUUGGGGAGCCCAUCGGAGCCGCGACCCUCAUCGCUCACAACGACCCCUGGUGAGAGGUAAGGUUCUUUAUUCCCUGGUCUGGGGGCCUGCCAUUAAGACGCAGCAAAAGCUACGCUUGGUUGGGCAAAAGGAAUUCCUGGUGGUAUUGCCUAGGCAGCCCUCUGUCAGACAUCGCGAAAGCGUUGCAGGUUCGGCAUCUGUGGUUUUUAUGUAUUUGUAAUAUGGAGAAACUAAAAGGGUUAAAAGAGGUUUUGGGCAGCAAUAAUGCCUCUAUACCAAGUUCUUCUCCUUUGGGUUGUUUGUUGGCACAUUGGAAAGAGGGGAAAUUUAGUCAGGAAUUACGAAAAGAUAAAUUGAUUGAGUAUUGUAAUGUGAGCUGGUCAAAAUAUUCUCUGCCUGAAAACCAGAGGUGGCCACAGAACAGGUCUUUAGAUGUAAAGGUUAUUAUGCAGCUUAGAUCGCUUUGUACACAAGAUGGAAUGGUAGAACAAAUCCCAUACCUUGAUUUAUUUCUAUGCUUGCUUGAAAAACCAGUUUGGUGGCUUGGCAACAAAAUGGAAGCAGUAAAAUUUGAACAUAAGUGCAUGGCUUGGGCCCAAAAUAAGCAGUGUAUGCAGCAUGCGAUUUUAAGUGAAGCUUUAAAGGGAGGAAGAGAUGAAGUGGACUCGGACUUAUUAAUAGCUCCCAUGGCCCCCGCACCCACCACAGCUCCCUCGACACCGAGUUCUACCCUGCUCACCCUGACCCCAC